UGAUUUUCCGGUUGAUCCUGCGGAGGACACUGCUAUCAGAGUACGCCUAAGCCAUGCAAAUCUGCCCGGCGACUUCGCCGGACGGUGUACGGCUCAGUAACAAGUAGUCAAUCUGCCCUUCGGACUGGCAUACCCCCGGGAAACUGGGGUUAACUCCGGAUGGCCCGCCUCUGCUGGAAUGCUUGGCGGGCAAAACGGCGCGCGAAUCGGAGCGCGUCCGCCGAAGGAUGAGACUGCUCCUGAUUAGGUAGUUGGUGAGGUAACGGCUCACCAAGCCGAUAAUCAGUAGGGGCAAUGGGAGUUGGCGCCCCGAGAAGGGCACUGAGACAAGGGCCCUAGUCCUACGGGAUGCAGCAGGCGCGAAACC
rnacentral:rRNA from 1 species